rnacentral:lncRNA from 10 species
UUAACCUGUUUGUCUGCUUGUUGCUUGUUGGGCUGUGCAAGCAGUGAGGCUGGAUUGUUGCCUCAGGAGUAAGUUACAUAAGAGACUCUACAUUACAUUACAUUACAGCUCUACAAUGCACCAGACGGACCCAUCUGGAUUCUUUCGGGGCUCUUAGCCCUAGAAAUAGCAUCAUUUCUUCAAACUGGUAUAGAGACCCUUGGGGAGGGUCCAACCCUGCUGCGUUUAGCGUAGCUUGUCAUGGAGAGGUUCCAGUGUGUUUACACCUUUGAACCAUCACAACGCCCAGCAUGAACUCUUCAAACUUUUGUAUUCAUGGCUCCAAAUGUUGAAAUUUUAAAAAUGACUUUAAGGCUUUUUAUUUAUUUUUAAUUUUUUUCUACAACUUUAAAGCAAAACUCAAGUAUGAGCUCAGAAGUAUUUUUCUCUUUGAAAAUGUUUAAAAAAAAAUGCUGCAGGUAAAUGAAGCUGUUUCUUUGGGACCAGCCCAUGGAGUGCUGGAGUAGCUGUGAGGUGUGCGCCAGGCCAGGGGACUCACCCCGUUUGUGCUUCCAUGUUCUUGUAAAAUGUGGAUUGUAGUGGAGCCUACCCCAGAGGGCUGCUGAGAAAAUUAAAUUAGUUACUGCAUGUAACACUUAGAAAAUACAAACAUGAAGCGCGUUUAAUACCGAAUGCCCUCAUUGAACGUUCAUUGAUAAUGUUAUUGCUGUUGCUGCUUCUCACUCCACCUCUCUCACUGGGGCCUGGGAGCGGGGAUGCCUGCAGGUGUGUUGGAAUCCGUCAGUGCAAUGCCAGGGGCACGCAGGCAGAAGCGGGUGGGACUCGUCCUGGUAGUGGGGGCGAGUUCAAGGUAACGCAGCAGACAAGGAGAAAUGGAUUUUCAUUGACCGGUAAGUUUUAAAUGGAAAACAAUCAUUCAAAAGAGGCAAUUUGAGGACACAGUGAGCCUUCG